AUAAGCAGGGUUUUUAUGUUGAUUUUCUGUGAAACAUUCUCCUCAGGUGUGUAGUUCUCUUUUUACCAUUUUUUUAAUGCAUUUUUUACAUGCUGGUUUUCACUAAGUGUCCGCAAUCUCUUAUUUCUCAUAAAUGCAUAUACCAAGUGUAAAAAACAAACUGCAUUAUAUAUAUAUCAAUAAAUAAAUAUAUAAAUAAUUAAUAGUGGCACUGUGGCGCUCUCCAGGAGUUAAUUUCAUUAACAUUUAGACUGAUUCACAUGACAGGAAAACAGUCAGUUUGGUAUCAAAGGGUUACGGCUCUUACAAAACAAGUAUUGACUUCAUUUUGGGCUGUCCGACAGAGACUUGAGAACAGUUGGAGGCAGAAUCAUCUGCAGAAAACGACAAGUAUUGUUUAGAUGAAGAUAACCACAAACAUCCGGAAAUACUUAACUGUGUCUAAACUCUUAGUGACUCAUGUUUACAUUAGUUUUUACUUUAAUGCAGUUUUCUCUUUUUCUUGUUCUUUUUAAUCUUCAAAUUGAACAUUAUUUUUUAACACAGCCAUAGAGUGGAAAAGAAGUUUACAUGUAGGUUACAAGAUGGCCAGCCUGAUUAUUUCAAGACACUGAUGGGAAUUGGUGGCUUCAAUGCAAAUUCAGCCGAAUGAGUUCUCUAGUCACAGGGGAUGUGACGCAGAACAGACCAGCACUGAACUGCUUCUUGAAUAGCUCCAACCCCACCUUGCAACUGGGGCAAACCACUUCAACAAGCAACACGGCCUGUGUCUGCAGGAUUGUAAAUAGUAAGUGCAGAAUUAUGACAACUUCUGGAUUACCAUCUGGCUCCUUUUCACCCUCAGCUAUUGAUCAAGACCUUUCCCAAUGAGCUAUUAUCUAAGUAUUUUAACCAUCCAAAGAUAACUCAGAAAAUCAGUAGAAUGUAAUAUCCUAAAACUUUGUAUUUAUUUUUGAGGUACUGCAUGUUGCCAGCACACUUCUAUCAUGUCACAUUAUGUUACACAGACUUACAGUGAAAAGAAAUUUAACGGGAAGUGACAUGGUGUAAGUGAUGCACUGACAUGUAUAAUUUAAAGACUAUACUUUUAUUGGAAGCAGACACCUGUAAUUAAUUCAGAUAUUGGGAAUUCAAAAUGAAACUGAUGAUUAAAGCCAGAAGGGACUUAAGAUGCAUAUUAAGCUCAUGAACUGGUGAUUUUCUCUGUUUAUCCAGCAGAAUAGCAUGUUACAGUUGCUAAAUUUGUUCUGAGAACUCAUUUGGUGACUAUCAUUACUGCUGCUUUGAUAAGAUAUUAUUGGUACAUAAAAUACACAAAAAUUCAAGUUUCUUCUGUUUCUGUCCUAUCCAUAAAUGCAGAGCUUGAUUAGAAAGUGUUUUAAAAAGGAAGAUAUCUUUGUUUCCUGUUCUCUUAAUAUUUUUACUAAAUCGGUAUCUGAACUGGUGGUUCAUUUCAUCUGGGAAACUUUGGUUACUUUCUAUGCUGCUACUUUGGUGGGUUUACUGGAUGUCGAGAAGUCUGUGCAGAGAUCCUGCUUGACAGAAUUGACCACAAAUCAUAACUUUGUAUGAGAAAUUUUGCAAACAUACGAUGUAACAUCUUAUAGAUAGAUACCCGUUGAAAGACAGUUUUAAUGUAACAAAACACAGUGACCUUGAAAUGUGCCUACCUAUCCUUUGGUUUGGUUUUUCUUCCCUUAUUAUUAUUAUUUUUUUUAAA